GGCACGCGGGAAAACCCGGCCCGGAGCCGCCGCCGCCUUCUCGCCUCGCGCCGCCUCGCCUGCGCCCCGCUCCAAACGCAACCGCCUGGAGCUCGCGGGUAGAAGCGAGACCUUUUAUUAGACCAGCAAAAGUACAGUUCAGCUGUUUCUGAGAAUGCCACUAGGAGAAAUAUGAUGGUUUUGAUUUGGGAAUCUUCAGACCUGGACACAGGCAUGGACGAACUGGGCAGCUGCCCAGGGCCCAGACAGAAAGGGGGCACAAAAUGAGCAGGGGGGCUGGACCUGAUGAUCUCAGAAGGACCCUUCCAGCCCUAAACUUCUGUGAAUCUGUGAGCCUGAGAAUGAAUGUUGCAGGACCAGCAGAUCGUGUUGGACACCAUGAGGCAGCGCAUCUGCUUGGCGUAGCAGCAGGAGACGCAGCAGGCACACAGGACACUCUCAUUGCCGGGGUCCCAGGCUGUUGGAUCAUACUACAUUUGAUCUUAGUGGCAAAAUGAACUAACCAGAGAGAACCUCAGACAGGGUCACCUUACCAUCUUCUGCUCAGGGUCCCAAUUACCCUCUCACUAGUUCACCCCACUACAUCUCCAGUGACUUCCAUAGAGUGAUUUCUGUCUUAGUGAGAGCAGAACAGGUGCUAACUAAUUCCAAUUAUAAUGGAACUUUUUGGUGAGAUGAACAUCUGCCCCAUCGCAUCAUUUCUAGAGCCUAUCUAAUGGUAGCGAUUUAGACCAGAAAGACAGCCCCAGGCCCUUCCCAUCUGACCACUGGAGUCCUUUAACAAUGUGCUGUGGGGGUUGGUCAGUCUCCCCACAGCAGCAACAGAAUUACAUCUGGGUCUGCUGGACCCAGCUGUUGUAGACAGCUUUGAGAAUUGGACUCUCUAGCUUCAUUGCUUCUGCUAACUGUCUCUGACUACUACCACACUUCUUGUCUGCUUGCUAUUAACACACCAGUGUGCUGCAGUGUUUGACAUUCCUAUAACAAACUUUGAUUUAUACAGCCUUAUACAAUCCUUCCUCCUUUGUGUGGCCUUGAGAACAGCUUAACAGGCACAGUAAAGUAGAAUCUAUUUCAAACAAGUCACUACCAAAGGAACAGACCUUUUCAAAGAAUACCACUUCUGUGAAUCAAACCCCUCCUGUCCAGAAUAAUCAGGGUUCCUUUAUAAAUGCAGUUUAUUUAGGCUUGGCAGAGACUGGGUCUAGCACAUAGUCCAAUGAGUAAACUUUAAAAAAAAAAAAAAAAGUGUGGUAAGUACGAAUGAGAUUUACAGAGUAACAGAAUAAAGGGAAGAAACAAUCUAGAGGAAAAAUAUAACGCGCUAUAUUCACAGCUCAAUCAGUCAAUUCACAGUGACUCCAAGUACUUGAGCAGCCAUCCAGCAAAAAGGAAUUUGGCUCCUCAUUUUAUAGCAUGUCUCUGGCCGUAUCUGAUUCUUCACCCCAUAGCGAGGCAGAUGACUAGCGCUCCUUUCCACGCCCACUGCUCACAGAAAACCUGUAAGGCAUUGUGUCACUGGAAGUCACGUGGAGUUAUUUCAGUGUGCAAUACCAUAACUCAUCCUGCCACCAAAGCGACAAUGUCUACUAAUAAACAUGCUCAUUUCUAUAGG